AUGAACGCUAGCUACAGGCUUAACACAUGCAAGUCGAGGGGCAGCAUGAACUUAGCUUGCUAAGUUUGAUGGCGACCGGCGCACGGGUGAGUAACACGUAUCCAACCUGCCGAUGACUCGGGGAUAGCCUUUCGAAAGAAAGAUUAAUACCCGAUGGCAUAGUUCUUCCGCAUGGUGGAACUAUUAAAGAAUUUCGGUCAUCGAUGGGGAUGCGUUCCAUUAGGUUGUUGGCGGGGUAACGGCCCACCAAGCCUUCGAUGGAUAGGGGUUCUGAGAGGAAGGUCCCCCACAUUGGAACUGAGACACGGUCCAAACUCCUACGGGAGGCAGCAGUGAGGAAUAUUGGUCAAUGGACGAGAGUCUGAACCAGCCAAGUAGCGUGAAGGAUGACUGCCCUAUGGGUUGUAAACUUCUUUUAUACGGGAAUAAAGUGAGGCACGUGUGCCUUUUUGUAUGUACCGUAUGAAUAAGGAUCGGCUAACUCCGUGCCAGCAGCCGCGGUAAUACGGAGGAUCCGAGCGUUAUCCGGAUUUAUUGGGUUUAAAGGGAGCGUAGGCGGACGCUUAAGUCAGUUGUGAAAGUUUGCGGCUCAACCGUAAAAUUGCAGUUGAUACUGGGUGUCUUGAGUACAGUAGAGGCAGGCGGAAUUCGUGGUGUAGCGGUGAAAUGCUUAGAUAUCACGAAGAACUCCGAUUGCGAAGGCAGCUUGCUGGACUGUAACUGACGCUGAUGCUCGAAAGUGUGGGUAUCAAACAGGAUUAGAUACCCUGGUAGUCCACACAGUAAACGAUGAAUACUCGCUGUUUGCGAUAUACAGUAAGCGGCCAAGCGAAAGCGUUAAGUAUUCCACCUGGGGAGUACGCCGGCAACGGUGAAACUCAAAGGAAUUGACGGGGGCCCGCACAAGCGGUGGAGCAUGUGGUUUAAUUCGAUGCAACGCGAAGAACCUUACCUGGUCUUGACAUCCGAUGCAUAGCACAGAGAUGUGUGAAAUCCUUCGGGACAUCGAGACAGGUGGUGCAUGGUUGUCGUCAGCUCGUGCCGUGAGGUGUCGGCUUAAGUGCCAUAACGAGCGCAACCCUUAUCGAUAGUUACCAUCAGGUUAUGCUGGGGACUCUGUCGAGACUGCCGUCGUAAGAUGUGAGGAAGGUGGGGAUGACGUCAAAUCAGCACGGCCCUUACGUCCGGGGCUACACACGUGUUACAAUGGGGGGUACAGAAGGCAGCUACACGGCGACGUGAUGCUAAUCCCGAAAGCCUCUCUCAGUUCGGAUUGGAGUCUGCAACCCGACUCCAUGAAGCUGGAUUCGCUAGUAAUCGCGCAUCAGCCACGGCGCGGUGAAUACGUUCCCGGGCCUUGUACACACCGCCCGUCAAGCCAUGAAAGCCGGGGGUACCUGAAGUGCGUAACCGCAAGGAGCGCCCUAGGGUAAAACUGGUGAUUGGGGCU
rnacentral:rRNA from 1 species